UAAUGUUAAAUACAUAAUUUAAUUUCUCAUCAAGUCACAUAUUAUCAUCAAAUAAAGUUUAAACAUUUAAAUCAAACUAAAAAAAAAAGAACAACAAAAAGAUGAUAGAAUCCAAGAAUUAUAAUCUUGAUCUUCUAAAUCUUCUUGAAUCCUUCAAAUUCUUCUCAAGUUCAAUAACUUUGUAGCUUGAUUCUCAACUCUUAAUUUG
rnacentral:lncRNA from 1 species